rnacentral:misc_RNA from 1 species
AACGCACAUUGCGCCCCUUGGUAUUCCGAGGGGCAUGCCUGUUCGAGCGUCAUUACAACCCUCAAGCCUGGCUUGGUAUUGGGCUUCGCCACUCACCUGGCGGGCCUUAAAAUCAGUGGCGGUGCCGUCGAGGCCCUGAGCGCAGUAAAUAUCCUCGCUAUAGGGACCCGGCGGUUGCUGGCCAUCAACCCCCAACUUUCUAAGUUUGACCUCGGAUCAGGUAGGGAUACCCGCUGAACUUAA